rnacentral:tRNA from 1 species
GAGGGUAUAGCUCAGUGGUAGAGCAUGUGCUUAACAUGCACGAGGUCCUGGGUUCAAUCCCCAGUACCUUCA